rnacentral:piRNA from 1 species
UAGAAUGGAAUGGGUAUACUUGGUGUCCAGU